UGUAUUACAAUUCGGAGAAACAUAGUGAC
rnacentral:sRNA from 1 species